rnacentral:lncRNA from 1 species
ACAAAGAAACAAUCAUCAUCAAUUACAGAACUAACAAGCACUCAAAACACACAGUGAAUAAUAUAGCAUUGUAUUCAAGGCUUACAGUCAUGUCAGAAGUCCAGAGAGUGAGGUUGUCUCUGAGAAGCUGCAUAAUCAGCGUACUGUCUUUGUAUGAUUCCUCUCCCAAUGUAUCCAGCUCAGCGAUAGCUUCAUCAAAUGCCUGCACAACCAUAAGAGCUCAUACAAGUUUUUUUUCAAAAAGUUAACAAGACAGAUUUGACAUGAAACAACAGAAGUUAAAGAAGAUGGUUUGAGUUCAUUUAUACUUAAUAACAAUAUAUUUUAUAUUGUAUUUGUAAGAAAAAAUAUUCCCAUGCGAAGCAUGGGGUUAAUACUAGGAUAUAUAUAUAUCUUAAAAUCAACCUGAUAAACGACCUCGGAACCUGAUAAUUUUGCUAGGAAAUCAUUUAUGCUAAUGGAGAUUGUUCCACGACUGGCCUCACUUUUUGGAGGCUUUUGUAAACAAAGAUAAUGAAUAAUAAAGCACAGUAGUCGGGAAAGAAGAACUGGAUUAUGAUCCGGUCAAAAUGGAUAAAACGCCACAAAUCGAACCUCAAAUUUCCCAAGACUAAAAAAUCCAUAGUUCUUAACCACCAAAGUCUUCCACAAGGCAAUUUGCAGGUUUUAAGACAUUACUUGCAAUCAGUUGAACAAAAAAGGACAUUACUUGCAAUCCAAAAAACUACAUUUACUACAAGCAAAAGUACUUGAUGGAAAUUUUGAAAGACUAAUCAAUUUGAAAAAUUUAAAGCAUGUGAUUAAACAUGUUUAUUAUUGUCACACUAGAGGAUCAUUUGUGGAAAUUUCGAGGAAUCAAUCGCAAAUUCGAAAGUAGUUUUCAAAUUGUUUCCCAAACAAACAAAAUAAACAAACUCAAAUCAAAAGAGUAUCUGAUAAGAAUCCUGAGCUUAUCCCUCACUCAGAUUAUCACAUAAGGAAGUUUCUACCCUUUAUAAAACGACUUCCUCUUCUUCAGCGUUACUCUGCUGCACCGCCUUCUGGCUUCGAUGCCUCCUUUAUCUCAUCUCCUGCUUCGUCCUAUCAACCCACAAAGAAACAAUCAUCAUCAAUUACAGAACUAACAAGCACUCAAAACACACAGUGAAUAAUAUAGCAUUGUAUUCAAGGCUUACAGUCAUGUCAGAAGUCCAGAGAGUGAGGUUGUCUCUGAGAAGCUGCAUAAUCAGCGUACUGUCUUUGUAUGAUUCCUCUCCCAAUGUAUCCAGCUCAGCGAUAGCUUCAUCAAAUGCCUGCACAACCAUAAGAGCUCAUACAAGUUUUUUUUCAAAAAGUUAACAAGACAGAUUUGACAUGAAACAACAGAAGUUAAAGAAGAUGGUUUGAGAAACC